rnacentral:rRNA from 1 species
UAACUAUAACGGUCCUAAGGUAGCGAAAUUCCUUGUCGGGUAAGUUCCGACCUGCACGAAUGGUGUAACGAUCUGGGCACUGUCUCAGCCACGAGCUCGGUGAAAUUGUAGUAUCGGUGAAGAUGCCGAUUACCCGCAAUGGGACGAAAAGACCCUGUGAACCUUUACUAUAACUUCGUAUUGACUUCGAGUAAACAAUGUGUAGGAUAGGUGGGAGGCAGUGAAGCAGGCACGCUAGUGUUUGUGGAGCCAACGUUGAAAUACCACCCUUUGUUUACUUGGAGCCUAACUUCUACGGAAGGACAUUGCGUGGUGGGUAGUUUGACUGGGGUGGUCGCCUCCAAAAGAGUAACGGAGGCUUUCAAAGGUACCCUCAGCACGCUUGGUAACCGUGCGUAGAGUGUAAUGGCAUAAGGGU